CGCCUCUUGACUAAAUAUAAGUGGUCCAGCCUGCCCAGUGACAAAGUUAAACGGCCGCGGUACCCUAACCGUGCGAAGGUAGCGCAAUCACUUGUUCUUUAAAUGAGGACUAGUAUGAAUGGCAUCACGAGGGUUGCACUGUCUCCCCUUUUUAAUCAAUGAAACUGACCCCCCCGUGUAGAGGCGGGGAUAUAACUAUAAGACGAGAAGACCCCAUGGAGCUUUAAACUCAGUAUCAACCGCCUAACAACACAUCAUUACACUUUGGCAGAUCUGAUUACUAGUUUUCGGUUGGGGUGACCGCGGAGUAAAACAAAACCUCCACGAUAGAAAGGACCUAUACUCCUAAUCAUAGAGCCACAGCUCAAAGAAUCAAAAAACUGACAUAAAUUGAUCCAAUUAAUUUGAUCAACGAACCAAGUUACCCUAGGGAUAACAGCGCAAUCCACUUCAAGAGCCCCUAUCGACAAGUGGGUUUACGACCUCGAUGUUGGAUCAGGGUAUCCCAGUGGUGCAGCCGCUACUAAAGGUUCGUUUGUUCAACGAUUAAAACCCU
rnacentral:rRNA from 1 species